rnacentral:rRNA from 1 species
GAAUUUUAUAUAAAUUAAACAAAAAUUUUAGUAGAAGAUUUGUUGGAGUUUAUAUUUUAUUGGGAGGAUAGUUAAAUUAAAAAAACUUUAAAAAUAAAAAGAAAUCAUAAAUUUAUGAGUUAAAAUAAAGAAUGGCGGAGUAAGUUAAAGUAGAAUUAAUUACCUUAGGGAUAACAGCGUUAUAUUUUUAGAGAGAUCUUAUUAAUAAAAAUGAUUGC